rnacentral:misc_RNA from 1 species
GUGCAUAGCCUCAAAUUACAACUACCAAAAUAUAUUAGGAAGGAAAAGAAAAAGGGAAACCAUAUAUAUAAUUGUUUCAUACAUGAAAUUGAACUUACUAACCUUCACAGACAAGUCUGCAAAUCCAUAGCUACCUACCGUUACCAGCUGCAAAAACAAGUACCAAAAGCAGCCUCCAUGAACAUCCUCUUAAGUUUUCAGAGCCCCUUCUUUAAUUUUCUCUCAAUCAAUGAAUUAAUGGGAAGAAAAAUCUCCAUCACAGCCAUAUAUAUCUGUUUAUCAUACAAAAUGAUGGAGCUUAGCUUUGCAUAUCCCAAAAUCUGAUUAUGCUUUUCUAUUUGAUAUUUGCUCCCUGGAAAAUUAAGUUGUCCUCUUAAAAUGAUGGCCUUGCACCACUCCCAUCCCAUCCAAACAAAUCACCGGAAAAUGGAUACACAUUCCCUCCCGUGUUAAAAAAACCACUACCGCUGCCGCUGCCACUACCGCUGCCUCGUCCUCCACCAUCUCCCAGCUGCCCAGACCCACCACCUCCUGUCACACCUGAAGACUGUGACGCCGUGGACUGACCUUGAACGUUUCCUUCCUCCUCCUCCAAGGGCAAUCGCUCAAACACAGCGUUUGCAAAUGAUGCAGCCAUCAAAACCACCGGCCCAGAAGCCAACAAAGGUCCUACCACGCUUCCUCCAACAACCUGUCCCUGUCCACCAGACAAGAAUAUCGACAAUCCCCCUGCCCCAGGAGGCGCUGGUGGAGGAAGCACCGUUCCAGAGAGCGAAAGAAUCUCGAACCGACCGUGCAAAGUCACUACACUAGCCGCAGGAGACCCUGGUUGCUUCAAUGUAACAUUAACAACUGUCCCGUUGCCGCUAAGUACACAGACUCCUCUUCCUCUUUUCCUCGCGUAAUUGGAUACGCUCUCCAUGAUGUCACUGCCGGCGGAAACCUCUAGCACAUGGGAUCGAAGGGCAUUAGGGCUGUCACGCGUUACGAUAAUCGGGGGCUUGGGUUUGUUCUUGGAGCCAGGAGGGCGGCCUCGAGGGCGGCGAUUGCUUCCAGAGCUGGUGG